rnacentral:misc_RNA from 1 species
GGAGGAGGUAGGAGAAAGGUUGAAUAUAAUAGAUGACCCUCUCAUGAUCCUUGCAAGUAAGAAGCCUUGUGCCGUGGGGACAUCUUUUUGUUUGUUAUCAUUUUCCUUUAUUCAUUUUGUUAAACAUAAGAGAAUCAAAUUCUGUUAAAUCCUAUAAAACCUAAUUUUUCCCAAAUAAUCUAAUCAAUCACAUACAAAUUACUCAACUCAACUCAACUCAA